UACAGAGGUCUCAAGCGUUGUUCGGAUUUACUGGGCGUAAAGGGUGCGUAGGCGGCGAGGUAAGUCAGAUGUGAAAGCUCAGGGCUUAACCCUGAAACUGCAUCCGAUACUGCCUUGCUGGAGUAGUGGAGGGGAGACUGGAAUUCACGGUGUAGCAGUGAAAUGCGUAGAUAUCGUGAGGAACACUAGUGGCGAAGGCGAGUCUCGGGACACUUACUGACGCUGAGGCACGAAGGCCAGGGGAGCGAAAGGG
rnacentral:rRNA from 1 species